UACAGGGGGUGCAAACGUUGCUCGGAAUCAUUGGGCGUAAAGCGCACGUAGGCGGUUACUUAAGUCGGAUGUGAAAGCCCUUGGCUCAACUGAGGAAGUGCAUCCGAAACUGAGUAGCUUGAGUACUAAAGAGGGUCGCGGAAUUCCCGGUGUAGAGGUGAAAUUCGUAGAUAUCGGGAGGAACACCGGUGGCGAAGGCGGCGACCUGGGUAGAGACUGACGCUGAGGUGCGAAAGCGUGGGGAGCAAACAGG
rnacentral:rRNA from 1 species